rnacentral:rRNA from 1 species
UACGUAGGGGGCGAGCGUUGUCCGGAAUCAUUGGGCGUAAAGAGCGCGUAGGCGGUCCGGUAAGUCCGCUCUGAAAGUCCGGGGCUCAACCCCGGGAGGCGGGCGGAUACUGUCGGGCUAGAGUCCGGAAGAGGCGAGUGGAAUUCCUGGUGUAGCGGUGAAAUGCGCAGAUAUCAGGAGGAACACCAAUGGCGGAGGCAGCUCGCUGGGACGGUACUGACGCUGAGGCGCGAAAGCGUGGGGAGCAAACAGG